rnacentral:rRNA from 1 species
GAAACGACUGCUAAGACUGGAUAGGAGACAAGAAGGCAUCUUCUUGUUUUUAAAAGACCUAGCAAUAGGUAUGCUUAAGGAGGAGCUUGCGUCACAUUAGUUAGUUGGUAGGGUAAAGGCCUACCAAGACUAUGAUGUGUAGCCGGGCUGAGAGGUUGAACGGCCACAUUGGGACUGAGACACGGCCCAAACUCCUACGGGAGGCAGCAGUAGGGAAUUUUCGGCAAUGGAGGAAACUCUGACCGAGCAACGCCGCGUGAACGAUGAAGUAUUUCGGUACGUAAAGUUCUUUUAUUAGGGAAGAAUAAAUGAUGGAAAAAUCAUUCUGACGGUACCUAAUGAAUAAGCCCCGGCUAACUAUGUGCCAGCAGCCGCGGUAAUACAUAGGGGGCAAGCGUUAUCCGGAAUUAUUGGGCGUAAAGGGUGCGUAGGCGGUUAAAUAAGUUUAUGGUCUAAGUGCAAUGCUCAACAUUGUGAUGCUAUAAAAACUGUUUAGCUAGAGUAAGAUAGAGGCAAGUGGAAUUCCAUGUGUAGUGGUAAAAUGCGUAAAUAUAUGGAGGAACACCAGUAGCGAAGGCGGCUUGCUGGGUCUUUACUGACGCUGAGGCACGAAAGCGUGGGGAGCAAACAGGAUUAGAUACCCUGGUAGUCCACGCCGUAAACGAUGAGUACUAAACGUUGGGUAAAACCAGUGUUGAAGUUAACACAUUAAGUACUCCGCCUGAGUAGUACGUACGCAAGUAUGAAACUUAAAGGAAUUGACGGGACUCCGCACAAGCGGUGGAUCAUGUUGUUUAAUUCGAAGGUACCCGAAAAACCUCACCAGGUCUUGACAUGCUUCUGCAAAGCUGUAGAAACACAGUGGAGGUUAUCAGUUGCACAGGUGGUGCAUGGGUUGUCGUCAGCUCGUGUCGUGAGAUGUUGGGUUAAGUCCCGCAACGAGCGCAACCCUUAUUGUUAGUUGCCAGCACGUAAUGGUGGGGACUUUAGCAAGACUGCCAGUGAUAAAUUGGAGGAAGGUGGGGACGACGUCAAAUCAUCAUGCCCCUUAUGACCUGGGCUACAAACGUGAUACAAUGGCUGUUACAAAGGGUAGCUGAAGCGCAAGUUUUUGGCGAAUCUCAAAAAAACAGUCUCAGUUCGGAUUGAAGUCUGCAACUCGACUUCAUGAAGUUGGAAUCGCUAGUAAUCGCGAAUCAGCAUGUCGCGGUGAAUACGUUCUCGGGGUUUGUACACACCGCCCGUCA